UAAGAGGUUUUGGGAUUCAUGGGAUGAGUUAAAGAUUGAUACAAUGUGUGUUAAUGCAUAUAGCCCUCCGGUCAAGAAACCUGAGCUGCCUAAGCCAUAUUUAGGGUUUUUGUGGAAAGUUCCAGAGUUUAUGUUAUCUAAGUUAAAGCCUAAGAAGGAGUCUAAGAGAGCUAUGGAGUUGAGGAAAAUGAGAGAGGAGAUUAAGAGGCAAAGAAAAGAGGAAUUGGCAAGAAUGAGAGAGGAACGGGAAAUGAUUGAAAAGGCAAUAAAAAUUCAAAAGAAAGAUGAGCAGAGAAGGAUAAAGAGGGAGAUUAGGAAAAAGAAGUAUGAGGCAUCAUUGCGUGAUGCACAGAGGAAUUACACAAGGAUGGCCAAUAUGUGGGCUGAUUUGGCACAGGACUCAAAUGUGGCCACAUUGUUAGGGUUGGUGUUUUUUGUGAUAUUUUACCGGACUGUGGUGCUUAGUUAUCGAAAGCAGAAGAAGGACUAUGAAGAUAGGCUGAAGAUUGAGAAGGCAGAGGCAGAGGAAAGGAGGAAAAUGAAGGAGUUGGAGAGGGAGAUGAUGGGAAUUGAGGAAGAGGAGGAGGUUGAGGGUGAGGGUGAGCAAGGGAAAAGGGAGCAGAAUGCCUACAUGAAAAUGGCUAUGCAGUUCAUGAAGUCAGGUGCAAGAGUUAGGCGUGCGCAUAAUAGGAGAUUGCCUCAGUAUUUGGAGAGGGGUGUGGAUGUAAAGUUUUCGGAUGUUGCAGGGCG
rnacentral:misc_RNA from 1 species